CCUACGGGCGGCAGCAGUGGGGGAUAUUGCACAAUGGGGGGAACCCUGAUGCAGCGACGCCGCGUGGGUGAAGAAGCGCCUCGGCGCGUAAAGCCCUGUCAGCAGGGAAGAAAAUGACGGUACCUGAAGAAGAAGCCCCGGCUAACUACGUGCCAGCAGCCGCGGGAAUACGUAGGGGGCAAGCGUUAUCCGGAUUUACUGGGUGUAAAGGGGGCGCAGGCGGCGAUGCAAGCCAGGAGUGAAAGCCCGGGGCCCAACCCCGGGACUGCUCUUGAAACAGCGUGGCUGGAGUGCAGGAGGGGCAGGUGGAAUUCCUGGUGUAGCGGUGAAAUGCGUAGAUAUCAGGAGGAACACCGGUGGCGAAGGCGGCCUGCUGGACUGCAACUGACGUUGAGGCCCGAAAGCGUGGGGAGCAAACAGGAUUAGAUACCCCAGUAGUC
rnacentral:rRNA from 1 species